rnacentral:lncRNA from 1 species
ACGAUUCACUACUUUCCACCAUGAUAAAUGAAAAAGAAAUUUAAGUUUUAAAUCUAUGAAAACUCCUAGAUCCUUUGAGAUUCAUUGAACAUUUCAAUGGCAUGUUUAAAUCUCGAUAUGCCCCUCUAGUUUGUGACUGGGAUGCCGAGGAUCACAAAGCGGGUGUGAAUAACCAUGCAAACUUACAUGGUGCCCUCACAUGUUACAGUCACCUAUUCGAUGUGCCGGUAAACCACACACGCUCCACUGAACUAUGACAAACAUUGAGUCACCCUUUGCUACCUUUGCUUAGACCCAUUUAGUGUGCCGGUAAACCACACACGCUCCACUAACGUCUUUGCAAGGGCACAAAGUGUAAUUUCAUGGAAUUGCAUCAAUUCACUUUGGCCUAAGUAACUAAGAUUGGGAAUUUUAUGAAAACAUUUAGUUACUUUUAUACUUCAUUAUACUUAUAAUGGAAGGUUUUGUCCUAUCCUACCCGUUCGGCUAACGACCCUCCACUAGUCAAGAGUGCGGUGGGUAAGAGUGGAUACCCAUUCAAUCGCCAUUUUAUAGGCAAUUUCCUUAAACACCCCUUAUAGACCAGCUUCGUGAAUGAGGCCUACUAACGGUAAGACUGACUUUUACUCAUACAUAUAUAUAAUGUUAGACUUUUAAUGUUAUAUAUAGUAUAGGGUGUAUUUUACACUUUUAAAAUAUUAGGUGGUCAAAUUUAACAAUUAUACUUUUAAUUCAAUUAAAUUGUAAACCAAAACUUUUAUGGAUUUAUUAAACCUCUUUUAAUUAUACACCUUAAUUAAUUAAUAAAACCAUAAGGGUGUGAUUUGAACUUUUUCAAAACAAUACUAGAGUUUUAGAAUUUAACAUUCCUAAUUAAACUUUUAAUCAACUUUUAAAUUCCAAAACUUGAGGGCAAGUUUUGAAACAUUUCAACACAUUAGGGUUUAGAAUUUAAAUAUACAUCAAAAUUAAACUAUUUAAUCAAAAUUUAAAUUCCAAAACUUGAGGGCAAGUUUUGAAACCUUUUUCAAAACAUUAGGGUUUCAACUAUUUAAAUUUCAAAACAACAAAACUUUUGGGUUCAAAUUUAAACUAUAAAACCUAAAGGGGAAAAUAUGAAACUUUUCAUAACAACAAGGAUCAAAUAACAAAUAAUCUAAAUUAACAUUUAAUCACAUAAUUAUCCAUAUUUGAUUUAUUUAAUGAUUUCUUGCAAAACAAUUUAUCAAUUUAAUCAAAAUAAUUAAUCAAUUAUCACAUAAGGAAACAAAUAUUUUAUUAAUUGAUAAAUAUCUUCAAUUAGAUCAAAAAUAUAGUCAUAUAUAUAUCAUAAAAUCAGAUUUAUAUUGAUCAAUAUGAUAAAGGCAAGUAUUUCAAAGAUAAACAGGAAGAAAUCCCGAAAAUAGCUCCAUCUGACGCUCGAACUCGUCGACUACCACACUGUACUCGCCGAGUUGAGGCCUACUCGUCGAGUAUACUGUGGUACUCCCUGAGUUCAUCAGCCAGGGAGCCCAAAAAUCGAUUUUGCAACUUGAAUAAACACACAAGGCAUCAAUACAACAGAAACCAAUCUAGGCGCUGAUAACACUGAUGGGUUUUGGUCCUAAGAACAUCCUAUGUGCUCAUACAAACCCUAAUGCUUGGAUCUAGGUUUCUCUAUUGUACAUGCAAGUUAUCCAAGACUAUAAACCCUAAUUCUAGCAUACAAGUAAUCAUAUUAACAUAAGAAUGGGUUUAAUAUAUUACCUUGAUUGUUAUGUAGCAAUAACAAUCCCAAAUCUCCUUGUAUUGACUUUACAAAGCUUAAUGUCACUCCUCUAAUGGUUCACAAACACCAUAAGCAAGAGGAUGAAGUGGAGAGAGGAUGGAGGCUGCCAAAAAACGUGUGAAACCCUAGAACAAAGCUUAGCCACGUUUUUGGUCCUUAAGGGUUCUAUAUAUAGUGAGGCUAUUAGGGUUAUCUAACAAGGAAACCCUAAUUUGGAUGCUUAAGCCCUAAGCAACCCAUGGAUCCGUUUCCUUAAGGCAUGGGACGAUUUCUUAUGGGCUUCCCCAUAGAAUUCGUCCACUCCUUAAUACAAGGCAAUCCAUGGCCCAAAUUACAAUUAUCUUAUAAUUACAAUUCUAGUCCCUUAAGUUUAAUUAAUCACUUUUAGUCACAAAACUAAUUACCAAUUAAUUAUUGACUAAUAUUAAUUAAACAAUAUGAUUUCUCCUUUAAUAUAUUAUUCUCAGAAUAUAUUAAUAAAUCAUAUUUAAUCCUUUCUCUCCAUAAUUCAUCCUAUUAAGUUACUUUGCUGAAGGCAACCCAAAAGGACCAUGCACCAUCGGGUCAAGUACAUACCAAAAUAGUUGUGGACUUAGACACUAAUCAAACACUUUAAACAUUAUUUAUAUAACUAUACAAGUACAGACAUGCAUUUAACAACGUAGAAGCGUUUAACGAAGUAGAAGCACUUAAUGAAGUAGUUGCAUUUAACCAAGUAGAAGCAUAGAAGCAUGGAAGAAAACUUUGAUGAAAACUUUGGAAAACCAUUACACUUAAGAAAAUCAUGAAUUGAUAUCCUUUUGUAAAAUAAGUUUGAAGACCUUUGGAAAUCCUUGAAAAUCCUUCAUAAACAAGUUUGGAAUAUAACCUUGAUAAAACAAUAUAAGUAAAGGAAAGCCUUUGUUUAAAAUACUGCUGUAACUGGUUUUGAAGUAAAACACACAGCGCGAGAGACAAUUUGAUAAAAGAUUUAAAUAAGUAAAGACGUUUUGGAAAACCAUUUAUAGUAUCAUACUUGGUAAAACAGCUGAAAGUGUAAUAAAUCCUUGUGCAUGGGGGUUAUUAAUCACAUAUGAAUGAUAUGAUAACUGGCAUGUUUUAACUUGUAUCCCCCCCAUAAAAUCAUGUAAAAACAUUUAAAAGGUUAAUUCAGGGGUCUGAACUCACCUGUUGUAAGUGGAUCGGACGGAGAUGCCGGUUGGGUGCUCGGUGUCAAGUAAAGACUUGAACACGCUUAGUGACCUAUUAACAUAUGAUGACAUAUGUUUACAUACAAUUAGUAAUUAUAAUACUAAUUAAACACGUAUACACAUCCUAAUGAGUGGGAAACACUUUGGUCACGUGCUAGGAGUGUCCCGGGUAACAUCUAAGGGAGUGUAUGGCCUAGUUAGGGAUUUUACUCUUUAAGAGUAAACUCUUUAUAGAGUUUACGGCCCUAAGACCAUAUCCCCAUGAGUUUACGGCCGUAAAAUCAAGGCUGGUGUGUCCUUGGAUGCUUUAAGGUCUUAUCUCACUCGUGGAAUUAGGCUAGGUUCAAUUCUAGGGCAUAGGAAGUGGUUUAGGCUCCAAAGGGACCAUUUUAGGGAGUUUACGGUCCAUUGACCACUCCUUGAGGAGUUUACCGCCGUAAACACAUGAUUUUACGGUUGUAAACACAUCUUUGCCCAUUUUUUUGUUGUUUGGUGGUUCUAACUCAUGCAUGCAAGGUUCUAGUUACUUAUAUGAGCAUAGGAAGGUGUUAAAGGCACUUAAACACCUUUCCAAGGUGUUUACGGUCUAUGAAGAUAUUCUUGGGAGUUUACUACCUUAAACACAUGAGUUUAUGGUAGUGAACUCAUGUUAGUCCAUGAAUCAUGUGUUUUGGUGCAUCAAAUGAAGGUUUAGAGGGCUCUAGGCACUCAUGGAAGCUUUUGGAGGUGUUUGAGGGGUAGUUUAACACCUUAAAAGGUAUUUAUGGUCCUUGAAGAUGGGUUUACGGUCUAAGGCUGUUCUUAGACCGUAAACUCAUGUUUACUCCCCAUUUGCUAAGAUUUUGGUGUUCUAAGUACUUUCAUGAAAGCCUCUAAGUCAUUGCUAAGCAUUAGAAGUGGUUUGGAAGGGUUUUUGGGCAUCAAAACCCUCUUCCAAGGGUAUACAGUUUUGGGAUGCUCCCAAGACCGUAAACUCUUGUGCUUGGGAUUUUUUGGAAAAUUUAAACAGGAAUUUGUAAGUUAAAUGAGGUAAACAACAAGUUAGGGUAGAUCACUUACUAGUUUGGGGCUUGAAAGAGGCGAUUUCGGAGCAAACCUGAUUUAUAGAGAGAGAAAGUAGAGAGAGAGAGAGUAUCUAAUGGUGGGAAAAAGGUGGGAAUGAAACCCACUCAACCCUUAUAUAGGGUGGAGUUUAUGGCCUGGUUGGGGGUUCACCUGACACCAACCGCGAACAGGGUUUUUCACGACUACCGUUAAACACGCCAACAUUUUAAAAUUAUACCUCCUUAAUUUUGGUUCGCUGGACGAAUAUUAUUUAAAAUAUUCCAACGGGUUUAAAUCUGGUCAAAAAUAUUUUCGGGAUAAAUUUGGCUAAUUUUUGACGUAAUUAAUUUCGAUGUUAAAACUAACGGAAAUUUUUCGGUUGUCACAAAAUAACCACUCAAUUUCACAUUAUCUUGUUACAAGUUGUACCUGUAUUAGACUUCUAUUUCCAAUUCCCUACAAGAUCCAUAUUGAACAAAGUGUUUCAGUUCUGAGAUAUCAAAUUCAUAUUCAUUCUUGAUACCUUAAAAAUCAUUUAAUCUUUUAAAUUCUUUAUAGUAAAAGAUGUCUUCGCAUAAAACCCGAACCAACUAAAGAUGUUAACAUCAAUAUUCUUUCUUGAUAACUUAAUUACUUUUGCAGUACUAUAGAAACAUAGCAGAGACGUUGGUCGAAACAUUGAGAACUUUACAGGGAAAGUAGAAAGUUACAUCAAUAUAUAAUUAUAUAAGGUACAACCAUCAACAACACUAGUAUUUACUAACUCGUUUCCCUUCAUGUAUUAGAAACAUGCCUUCACAUAGAAAUGAUCAACCAACUGACGAAACCCUGAUCCUACACAUAGACUCCGCUACGUUCCAAGCCACUGUAACGGUUGCAGUGGCAGCUGUCAUGGCACAAUUCAACACUAGCAACACAAACGAAAAUGGAAACAGAGUUGAAACUUCGAACUGUAAUAACAAUCAAGGAAACCAACAACUGCCAGUCAACAAGGGCACCAAAUACAACAAGUCAGUGAGCAAGAAAUUGAAGUUACGAAAAAAAAAAAAGGAUGGGUCAGUCUUCAUAAGGACCCUCUAAAAAGCGACAAGAAGCGACAGCUUGUGCUAUUACUACUACUCCAGCAAAACGAUAUGCUGGAAACCUCCCAAAAUGCAAUGAGUGUAAUUCCCACCACAAUGGAAAUUGUCGUGACAUGUAGUGUCGGGACUUCAACAGACACGGGCACACUAUCCGAUUUUGUAAAUUCCCACCUCAGCCAAUCACCCAAGUUCCCGGUGCUGGAACAACCCAAGCAUGUUAUAAGUGUGGCGAAUUUGGACAUUUCAAAAGAGAUUUCCCAAACACAAGAAAUGACAAAGGAACUCACUUCUGUAGAACUCCAACCCAACACCUCACUUCAACCACUGACGCUAGUACGAGUGAAAUAUGUCAUGCAUGUGGUGAAAUAGGACAUCUCAAGAGAGACUAUCCGACCGAGAGAACUGAUAGAGAGAGGGGGAAGAAUAGUAGCAACAACACAAAAGGAGAUAUCGGGAAACCGCUUUGAGAUUGUUGGUACGCUCUCUUGCAAUAAUAUUAUUUUUAUCUAGAAUUUUUCAAAACUUAAUGCCAAAUUAGACCAAAUCAUACUAUGAGGUUUCAACACCAAUUCUAGAAGCACUCUCACGACAAGUACUCGCUUCUAGCAGUACAACAAACUCGUAGUAAUAAUAACAAAGAUAAAGCGAAAUGUACUAAAGUCAUAUGUACAAAAUUCACAAUCAUUCUAGCCAUCACUUUAUUCUAAAUCGGUUUAACCCCUAUACUAUACGAAGUCCUUAUGUCGUUAGUCGACCUGAGUCAAACUAAUCCUCACUGUACUAAUUUCAUAUUUUACGGGAAGAUCCUUCUCUGUGACCGAACGUCUAACGAACCCCUAUCAAACGGUACCAACAAAAACCUCCAAAUCAUUUCUUGCUUCAACAAACCCAAAGUAGCCAUGUGAGGAGCACCAAAUUUUCUAUAAUUUUGCUCAAAAUACUACCAACAGAGUUUCUAGGAAUACCACUCGCACAGAAAGUCAAAUUCACUAAUGAAGACCCCAAAAAUUUAUGCGAUUUAUCUAAUACUAUUAUAUGUAUACAUGAGGGUAGUACGUAAUUAAGAUUCUACAAGCUUAGAAUUGAUGAUUCAACUUUGACUCCUUUUCCUUGUCUGGAUGUGGACUUAGAGAUGAAUCAUUUAUUCGAAUGCUUUUUCAAUCUUAACUAUAUUCGAUGUGUAUACACGGAACUGUAUUAGGUGAAACAGGCAUAAUCCAUGCAAUGGAUUUCUUAACUAAAUUACCCAAGACACUCGGUGGUUAUGAUACCAUCUGGGGUGAUUAUUGAUAGAUUGACCAAAUCCGCACACUUUCUACCAACAAAAGAAACUGACAAGAUGAAAAAGCUAACAAGAACUUACCUCAAAGAGAUUUUCAGACUGCACGGUGUGCCAAUAUCUAUUAUCUCAAAGCGAGAUAGUAGAUUCACCCCUCGUUUCUGGCGGUCCUUAUAAAAAAUCUUUGGGGAUUAGGCUGGACAUAAGUACAGCUUACCAUCCAAAAACGGACGAACAAAGUGAGAGAAUGAAUCAAACUCUAGAAGAUGAGUUGCGAGCCUGCGUGGUAGACUUUGGGAAGGCAUGGGAUACUCAUUUAACCCUUGUCGAGUUCUCUUACAACAAUAGUAAUCACACUAGCAUAAAGGUUGCUCCAUUUGAAGCCCUCUAUGGCCGCAAGUACAGAUCACCUAUGUGCUGGGCAGAAGUGGGUGGUACGUAAAUACCUAGAGUUCAAGCUCUAGACAGUACUCACAUAGGUCCGUAAAUCAUUCGAGAAACUAUAGAGAAGAUUGUAUAAAUCCUGGAAUGACUUAAAGCUUCCAGAGAUAGACAAAAAAGUUACGCCGACAAAAAGAGAAAAUCCUUAGAAUUCUGAGUUGGUGAUCGCAUCCUAUUAAAGGUCUCAACCUGGAAGGCAUUAAUAUGUUUUGGAAAACGUGGAAAAUUAAAUCCAAGGUAUAUCAGACCAUUCGAGAUCCUUGCCAGGAUUGGCCCGGUAGCAUACAAACUUCGAUUACCGCAGGAACUCAAUAACAUACAUCCUACCUUUCAUGUGUCAAACUUAAAGAAGUGCUUGUCCGAUGAGACCCUCGUCAUACCUCUGGACGAAAUAAAAAUCAAUGAGUGUCUCCUCUUCGUAGAAGAGCCAGUAGAAAUCAUGGAUAGGGAAAUUAAAAGAACAAAACAAAGUCGCAUACCGAUUGUUAAGGUCCGCUGGAGUGCCAAGAGAGGACCUGAAUACACCUGGGAGCGCAAAGAUAAGAUGAAACAAAAAUACCCGCAUCUCUUCCCUAGUUCAUAAAUGCCUAUCUUAGAAUUAAUUUUGGGAUGAAAUUCCCUCUAAUGGGGGAUGAUGUAACAACCCAGUGUUUCAAGUCAAUAUAAUGACCUAAAGUCAAGUAUGGUAAUCUAUUUUUGAUAUAAUAAAAAUAGCGUCAAAAAUGAAAUGCUCAAAAGUCUCAGUUGGGUUGCAUAAAAUCAUAGAAAUCGUUUCAAGGUUUUCAGAAAUAUAAAGAACACUCAAAUCCGAGUUAUAACGAAGAAGUUAUGACCAAUCAAAGAUCCGCGUCAAAACCGGUAAAACAGAGUUAAGCAUAAAAAGCGAAAUCUCAAUAAAAUACUUUUUGGCCUUAGGUAUCUAAAUGAAAGUCAUGGAUCUCAUUAAACCGUAAACAUACAUAAAAAGAACGUCCAAAUCUGACUUCGUAUGAGGAAGUUGUGAUAUUUUCUAAGUUUCAGCUUAGCAGUAUGCAACCCAAAGUUUGAAUAUGAGAUCGAUGGAUUUCUAGCUGAAACAAUAUAAACGAGAAUCGAAGAUCUCGUUGAUAGUAGUUCAACAGUAAAAAGACAGAUGAAAACGGACGUCGGAUGAAGAAGUUAUGAGUUUAUAACAGAGUUUUUCUAUCCCGGCCUACUAAAAAUAAUAUAAUAAAAAUUAAAUUAUAAAUUAGCCGACGGAGUGUAAACGAGAGUUGUAGAGCAUAAUCUCACCUACGCGUGGAUAUAAAGAACGUCAAAGAUGGAGCUCGUAUACGAAUGUUAUCAAUUUCUGAUGUUCGGGGUGCGAACCCCAACACUGUGUUAGAGUUCACGACGUGAGAAAGGGGUUCACGACGUGAACUCGGUGUUGAUGUCUUCUAGAGCCUAACAGAAUGAGCAUUGCGACGACGCACCUACUGACGUCCAAGGACACGACAUCAAAUGAUGGUUCACGAUGUGAAAAUCGAAAAAUCAGCGCUAUAAAUAGAUCACAAGGGCAGUUGUUUAGGGUUGCUCAAUUCUCUUCUCUCUCACCCGUAUUACCUCGAUUUACAUGCAAUUUAUACCCUCUAAGCCCCAGUAUCAUCCUGAGACCCAAAGCGAGUCCCGAAGCCCCAAGGAUCCCGAGAAACAGAGUUUCUGAGCCGAAACUCUGCCCACGUGAAGCUCGGCUUUUCACCAAAAACCUGCGGUUACGUCCCGAAAGAUCAUUACUAGAAACGAAACGUUGCCCGAGUCACCACUUAUCAAGUGAGUUCAUAUCCCCCACAUUUUUCAUACUUUUGACAGUUUUAAAGGGGGGGGGGGGGAAUACAAGUCUAACACAAAUAUUUUGUGUUACAAAUGAUUUCAAAUAACAUUAAAAUGACAUCAAGUCAUCACAAAUAUUUUAAAGUGUUUAAAGUCUUUAAAAGGGUAUGCCAAGUUAUAUUUUUCCCCAAAAAUCAUAUUUAUAUAAUCGUAUAUGUGUAUAAAUAUAAAGGUUGUUUUAUUUCGUUUCAAUACUCUUUGUAACUUGCUGAGCAAGAGGUUGGAUUCAUGAACAGUUAGUAUCAAUACAGAGAAUACAUAUAAAUUAUAAUAGGUAGAAUUUAUGAUUUAAGAACAUUAACACACGAGUCAGGUAUACGCUACUACAUUGUUAUACAAUAACAAGGGUUGGAUUCAAAACCACACAAGUGUGAACAAUUUACAAAUUCAUUUCAAGAAUACUAAACAAGAAACUUACUAACAAUCAUUUAUUUCAGAAUGAUUGAGUUUUCAUCAUUAUUAUACACGUAACAUUAUAUACUUUUCUAGGAGUUAAUAUGUUCAAGUUGUUAGUACAUUUAAACAACAUAGUUAAAGUCCUGAUAUCAUAACCAGAAUCUCCAUCAUAGGGAUCAAAACAAAUGUGUAUAGAUCUAUAUAGGAUUGACAAUCCCGCACCUAAACUGUUAGCUACAGUUAGACCAGCAGGUCUGGGGUGACAAUUGUUGUUAACAUUUCCGACACCUCCAAAGCAUCGAAUUAGGCCAUCUAGUCAUAGUAUCGUUAUCAUAAACUCAUGAAAAAAAUAUUACACAAUAUAGUUAGUGUAUACUUAACUAAACUUGAGUACAUUUCAAAAUACUAACUUUGUAAAGAUACAAUUUACAGUAUUACAUUACGGUUUACCAUAACAGCUGGUGGAACCAGGCCCAAUUACUUUUACAUGUUUUACAACGGAAAUUAAAAUACAUAAUAUUGGUUUACAAAUGGAACGGUUUAUGGGAUUAAAAAUAUUUUUCACAUACAAAAUAAAAUAUAGGAUUUUCUGGAACAGUUUUACAUAUUCAAUGGACAGAAAACAAGCUUUUGAACAUAAAUACUGAUGCACUCACUCAGCUUGAUGUUGAUACUCCUUUUCAAAUUACUUGUAUUCUCAGGAAAUCGGUAGGUAGGUACUCCCCAAGCUUCUUAGAAGACAAAGCCAUUUUGAGUCAUGUAUUCAAUAUUUUGUAUCAAUUAUUUUAGCGUCAAUAUACUAUGAUUGAACACAUGUAUAAACUUUUACUUAUUAAUGCAGUGCUUGUUCGUACUUUGAUUUCUAUAAAUGCAUGUGUUGUGAUACUACAAAUGAAGUCAUCCACCCUCAGACGUUUCCGCCGUCUGGUUUAGGGGUGUGACACGAAUUUUGAAGAGGUGAAAGUGAGAGAGUUCUUGAGAGUUUAGAGAGAAUUUAUAAAUGAAAUGAAGUUUGAAAUAGGAGGGUGGAAGGGCCGAGAAUAAGAAGACGGGGGAGGUGGUGGUGUGGUUUUUGCAUGGUGGUCGUAAGUUGGUGCAUGGAGGUAUGUUAGGUAAUGACAUUAUUAUUUGGUGGUUAUUAGUGAGGUGUCACUUUAGUAAUCACCAUCUUUUUUUAAUUAAACCUGAGAAUUGGAGAGGGGAGGAAAAGAAAAGGGUAUUAGGCUUGAAUACAAAUCGAGAAUAUAUUAUUCCAAUAAAGAUUUUCGACACAUUGGGCCCACAUAUGUGCGCACGGCUCAAAAUGAUAAAAAUAAUGGGUUUUCGGUCUAUGUAAUUAAAGAAGAUGGUUUUCGGUCCAAUAAGCCCCAUGAUGAGUCUUAUGGCCCAAAAUGCUAUUGCUAAGUGAAUGUGGGUCCAACUAGGGCCCAAAUGAGGUUUCUUAGCCCAAAAGAAUCAUGUUGAGGGGUUAUUGGUCCAUUAGGCCCAAUAAGAGGAUCCUGGUCCAAUAAGAGUUUGAACGGGAAAGUUAGGGUUACAACCCAAAGUCGAGUGAAUGUAGUACAUUGAAUUAGGUUUGGAGCUUCACGAGUAAGUUUUGAUUCGAAUAGUUUUUUUUAAAUGAGUAGUAUGUUUAACAUCAUACUUAGGGUUACAAGAUACAUCGAAAGUUAGUUACAUAUGAACAUAAUUUCCUAGCCCUAAAAUGCUAGUUGUGACAUCAUCCCCCCGUUAGAGGGAAUUUCGUCCCAAAAUUCUUUUUAAUGUUUUUCGUAGGAACUAGAGAAAAGAUGAGGGUACUUUUGCAUCAUUUGAUUUGCGCGUUCCCAUGUGAAUUCCGGUCCACACUUUGCGUUCCAUCAAACCUUUACAAUCGGAAUGCGGCAUUGUUUUGUACGCUUUACCUCUAUGUCCAUGAUUUCAACCGGUUCUUCGACAAACAGGAGAUUUUCGUUCACCUCAAUCUCAUCCAAGGGAACAAUGAGGGUUUCAUUUGAUAGGCCCUUUUUCAUAUUUGACAUGUGGAAUAUUGGGUGUACGUUAUUAAGUUUUGGGGGUAGUUGUAGUCUGUAGGCCACCGGACCAAUCCGGGCAAGAAUCUCCAAUGGCCCGAUGUAUCGUGGGUUUAGAUUUCCCCGCUUUCCGAAUCAUACCAUCCCUUUCUAGGGAGAGAAUUUCAGUAGUACACGAUCGCCUACUUGGAAUUCCAGAGGCUUUCGCCUUUUAUCAGCAUAACUCUUUUGUCGAUCUCGCGAUGCUUUGAGUUGUUCCCUGAUUUGAACUAUUGUCUCUGUUGUUUCCCGAAUGAUCUUAGGUCCUGUAAGAGUGUUGUUCGGUAUUUCCCCUCUUGCCAGCUGAGUUUCUCCCACCUCAGCCCAGCAAAGAGGUGAUCUGCAUUUCCGGCCAUAUAAAGCUUCGAAAUGAGCCACCUUAAUGCUCGUGUGAUAGUUUUUGUUGUACGAGAACUCGAUUAGGGGCAAGUAGGUAUCCCAUUCCUUCCCAAAAUCUAUUACACAAGCUCGAAGCAUAUCUUCUAACAUUUGAAUUGUCCGCUCGCUUUGGCCGUUGGUCCGGGGUGGUAAGCAGUGCUCAUAUUGAGUUGGGUCCCCAGUGCCUUCUAGAGCAACUGCCAAAAUUGAGAGGUGAAUCUACUAUUUCGAUCAGAGAUAAUGGAUAUCAGCACCCCAUGCAGACUUAUCACUUCUUUUAUGUAGAUUCGUGUUGAGCUUUCCAUCUUGAAUGACUCUUUUAUUGGUAGGAAAAUGGUGGAUUUGGUUAAUCGAUCGACAAUCACCCAGAUAGCGUCCAAUCCGUCUGCUGUCUUGGGUAAUUUGGUUAUGAAAUCCAUGGUAAUCCUUUCCCAUUUCCACUGAGUAUCGUCUAUUAUGAGCUUCGUUCAUGGUCACGUCUCUGAAUCCCCUAAAUUUUGGAAUCUAGAUUCGAUUCAUGAAAUAGUAAGCUCCGUCUUCUUUGACUUCAAGAUUUUUAUACAUUCCACAUAGUGCUUCAUUCGUGGCAUUUUUUGGCUUCAAUGCCUCCAAUUGAGCUUCUUUGAUUUGUGAAGUUAGGUGGGAGCGGAUGGUUAUUGUUAGUAUUUUCACUCGGCGACCUGAAUAUUCCUUCCUGCUCAGGGAAUCGACCACCACGUUAGCCUUUCCUGGAUGGUACUUGAUCUCGCAUUCAUAGUCAUUUAGCAGUUCGACCCAUUGUCGUUGCCUCAUGUUCAGCUCUUUUUGGUUCAGAAUAUGCUGGAGGCUUUUGUGGUCUGUGAAGAUGGUGCACUUAGUACCAUAAAGGUAGUGUCUACAAAUUUUUAAGCAGAAGACCACAGCUCCUACCUCAGUAUCAUGGGUGGUAUAGUUAACUUCGUGGGUUUUUAGUUGCCUAGAAGCGUAAGCUAUCACUUUUCCAUGUUGCAUAAGGACACAACCUGAACCUUGAUUUGAAGCGUCGCAAUACACUACGAAAUCUUCAAUUCCCUCUAGUAAGGAUAGUAUUGGAAAACUACAGAGGGCUCGCUUCAGGGUUUGAAAAGCAACUUCUUGUUUGUCAGUCCAGUUGAAGGGUACGCCUUUUUGGGUGGGGGUGGUAAGGGGCUUGGCAAUCUUGGAGAAGUUCUAAGUAAACCUUCGGUAGUAACUUGCAAGGCCCAAGAAUUGUAUGAUUUCUGUUGGCAUUUUCGGAAUCGUCCAGCCUUCAAUAGCUUUGAUCUUCGAAGCAUCCACAUUAAUUCCUUCCUCACUGACUACAUGACCCAAGAAAUUCACACUGCAAAUCCAGAACUCGCAUUUGGAGAGUUUUGUUUAUAGCCUUUCAGCUCUAAUAGUUUCCAAGAUCUGGCGUAGAUGUUGACCAUGCUCCUCCUUACUUCGAGAGUAUAUGAGUAUGUCAUCAAUGAAAAGGAUUACAAAAUUAUCGAGGAAUGGGCAGCAGACUCGAUUCAUGAGAUCUAUAUAUGUUGCAGGAGCAUUUGUCAGACCGAAUGGCGUAACAACAAAUUCAUAAUGACCAUAUCGGGUUCAGAAAGCAGUUUUGGGGAUGUCUUCUUCCGGAACUCGUAGCUGAUGAUAACCAGACCUUAGAUCUAUUCUAUAAAAAUAGCUGGCUCCUUGGAGCUGGUCGAAUAGGUCAUCAAUCCGAUGGAGUGGAUAUCGGUUCUUCAUAGUGAGCUUGUUCAACUCCUGAUAGUCGAUACACAUUCUGAAGGAUUUGUCCUUAUUCUUGACAAACAAAACUGGAGCUCCCCAGGGUGAGAAGCUCGGCCUGAUGAAUCCUUUGUCUAAGAGUUCGCUCAAUUGCCUAGAUAACUCCUGUAUUUUGGUGGGAGCAAACCUGUAGGGUGAAUUGGGCAAUUGAUGUGGCUCCUGGUAUUAGGUAAAUUCAAAAUUCGACCUGUGUUUCUGGGGGUAUUCCCGGAAGGUUUUUAGGAAAUACGUCCGGAAAGUUACAUGCCACUGGGAUAUCUUUAAUGUUUAUUUCCUAUUUUGUUUUAUUUACAACAGGGGAGAGGAAGGCAUAAUUUUUCUUGUGCAGGAAUUUUUAUGCCUUGAUGCACGAGAUAAGACGAAGAUUCAUGUCAAGCUUAUCACUAUAGAUUGCUAGGGUUUCAUGGUUGGGGAGGUGAAGGAGAAUGGCCUUCUCGUGGCACAUAAUGUAUGCAUGAUGGGGGCUUAACUAACCCAUGCCUAUAAUGACAUCAAAACUCAUAAUAUCUACCGGCAUCAAAUUUAUUUGAAAUGAGUUAUUAGUUAGCGUUAGAGUGCACCCUAUGAAUAUAUCUUUGGUUGUUUUGGUUUUCCCAUUGGCCAUCUCCACUGUGAAGGCUUCGCUUAGCUUUUGAGGUUGUUGGUUUGGUAAGUGUUUGAAUUUAUUACUCACAAAGCUCCACUCAGCCUCACUAUCGAAUAAAAUGCAUGCGUAAGUGUUGUUGAGGGAAACAUACUAGUAACAACUGUCGGGUCUUGAAAAACCUCCCCUUGACCCAAUGUCAGGACCCUGCUUGAUCCUCCUGCUCCUUGGUUGUUGGCUUUGUGGCAGUUUCGACUAAAGUUUCCAGUUCCUUUACAUCCAUACCAAGUAUAGCUGGCCUCGUCAUUACUGUUGUUGUUGUUGUUGUUGUUGUUGGGCUAUUGGUUCUGUUGGGGUUGAGAUCUAUAGUACCGGGCGGUGUGCCCCUUGCGUCAAGUUUGUACACUGCAUUUCUCUGCACUCACCAUUGUGGUGGUAGUUGCAUUUGUUACAUUUUUUUACGGUUCCUAAGUAUGGUCUGGUAGUAAUUUGCGCAGUUGAUGUUGGAGCAGUUGGUGCUGGCGCAACUUGAGCGGUAGCAGCGUGGACUACUAUGGUUUGCUACUUUUUGGAGGAUCCUUGGCUCUGCCGUCCCUUUCGUUUGUUUUCCCCAUUCUUCUUCUUAUUCCAUUCCUUCUUGGUCUCAAUCUCAGUAGUUUUGGUACUCUUCUUGUUGCCAUGAUCGUAAAGCUUCUGAGCUAGCCUGUUUGCAUUUUCAAAAGUCUCAGGGUUUGCUGUAAUCACGUUUCCAUGGACUAGGGAAGCUAAUCCCCAAAUGAACUGCUCAAUCGUCUUUCCCUCCGAAGUGAUCAUACUCGGGCACAAAAGGGCUAGUUCACUUAAUCUUGAGACGUACGCCCCGAUGUCUGAGUUUUGCACUGUGAGGUUCCAUAACUCUUGUUCUUGUUUUUGUACUUCCCCACAGAGACAAUAUUAUGCCAUCAACAUAUCUUUAAGUUCUCCCCAAGGCAUAGCGUUUGCAACCGAAAAAGUCAUGGCCUUCACAUGACCAUUCCACCAAGAUAGGGCUUGGUGAACAAAUGUGCAGGCUACAAACUUCACCUUGCUUUCUCCCGGACAUUCAUAGAUUUCAAAGUGGGACUCAGUCUCCUCAAUCCAGCACUUCAAUGCUAUCACACCACCAGUUCCAGUGAAUGUUCGAGGUUUGGCAUUUGAGGAAUCUUUGUAGGUGCAGACUUUUGAUGGGUUUUAGCCAUAAGAACAUCCAAUGUGCUCAUGCAACCUUAAUGCUUGGAUCUAGGUUUCUCUAUUGUACAUGCUAUUCAUCCAAGACUUUAAACCCUAAACCUAGCAUAUGAUAAUCAAUAUUAACAUGAUAAUGGCUUUAAGAUAUUACCUUGAUUGUUAUGUAGCAAUAACAAUCUCAAAUCCUCCUUGUGAUGACUUUAGAAAGCUUAGAGUCACAAAUGUCACUUCUCUAUUGGUUCACAAACACCAAGAGCAAGAGGAUGAAGAAUAAGGAGAGAAGAGGUUUACCAAAACGUGUGGAAACCCUAAGGAUUCAGUUGCCCACGUUUUUGGUGCCCAAGGGGUCCUUAAAUAGUGAGGCUAUUAGGGUUAUCUAACAAGGAAACCCUAAUUUGGAUACUUAGGCCCUAAGCAACCCAUGGACUCCCUCCUUAGAGGCCUUGGACGAUUUCCAAUGGGUUUCCCCCAUAGAAUUCGUCCACUCCUCUAAUAUGGAGUCCAUUAGGCCAAUAUUCAACUAUCAUACAAUUGAAAGUUUUAGUCCCUUAAGUUUAAUUAAUGUCUUUUAGCCACAAACUUAAUUCUUAUUAGUUCUUGACUAAUAUUAAUUAAACAAUAUGAUUUCUCCUUUAAUAUAUUAUUCUCAUAAUAUAUUAAUAAAUCAUAAUUAAUCCUUUCUCUCCAUAAUUCAUCCUAUCAAGUUGCUUUGGUGAAGGCAACCCAAAAGGACCAUGCACCAUGGGGUCAAGUACAUACCAAAAUAGUUAUGGACUUAGACACUAAUCCAACAGUCUCCCACUUGGAUAAGUCUAAUAACUAUUCUGCGUAUGACUUCAGAUCCUAAUCUGCAAUCGUAGCUUUCCAAAGCCGUUGUCAACUCUGAUCUUAUCAGAUAUGCGUGUCCUUAGAUAAGGGAUCAUAUAUUCCUCCAUUCUAGAUAUCGUAUAGAUAUAAGACAUGAAUUCUAAUCAUUCUCUCUAUACUAUUUCCCGACUUCCGAUUUAUGACGACUGACAACAGACUACAAUUGAACACAUCAAAUUAGUCCCGGCUUGGCCAAGCGCUUAGGUGCCAUCACUAAAUCAUCGAGGGGCCCAAAGAUAUCGCUUUUAUCCUACUUUGGAUAAAAGGAACGGAUAAAGUUUGACUCAAUGCUCACUUGCACUUACUUACCGAAUUACACACAACAAUAUGUUUUAUAACACCAAGUUACUGGUGCGUUUACAUAUUAUCAAUGUGUAACCGACUCGCAAGAUACAACUCACACAUCUCGGUUUCAAAAUAUAAGAUGUUAUCGUCUCACUAAUCACUCGUGAAAAAAAAUCCAUGAAGUGAUCCAAGUGAGCGUGGGUUUAAUCCAAUGCUCAAAUCAUAUUCAUAAGCACUCAUGAACGUUGCAGCAAACANNNNNNNNNNNNNNNNNNNNNNNNNNNNNNNNNNNNNNNNNNNNNNNNNNNNNNNNNNNNNNNNNNNNNNNNNNNNNNNNNNNNNNNNNNNNNNNNNNNNNNNNNNNNNNNNNNNNNNNNNNNNNNNNNNNNNNNNNNNNNNNNNNNNNNNNNNNNNNNNNNNNNNNNNNNNNNNNNNNNNNNNNNNNNNNNNNNNNNNNNNNNNNNNNNNNNNNNNNNNNNNNNNNNNNNNNNNNNNNNNNNNNNNNNNNNNNNNNNNNNNNNNNNNNNNNNNNNNNNNNNNNNNNNNNNNNNNNNNNNNNNNNNNNNNNNNNNNNNNNNNNNNNNNNNNNNNNNNNNNNNNNNNNNNNNNNNNNNNNNNNNNNNNNNNNNNNNNNNNNNNNNNNNNNNNNNNNNNNNNNNNNNNNNNNNNNNNNNNNNNNNNNNNNNNNNNNNNNNNNNAAGAAUAAUACUAAUCCCAUAUGGCCCCAAACUUUUGAGUAUAAAUAAAACACUUUUUAUCUAUCACCAUAUUGAUUACUCAUUAUUUGUUGUUUCGGGUAAUCAACUUCUUACUUGAAUUAUUACUACACUUGUCCCAUGCUCUUAGCAUGCACACAAUGCUUACCUAUGGUUCUUACUUUGUGAAAUAGAUUAAAUGAACACAUUUCCAAUCAUACUCAUUUCACAACUCCCAAUCCUUAUCACAAGUGUAAGAAUAUCAAAUUCUUUCCACUUAUAGAAUAUGCUAGAUUCUAACAUUUUAUGCAAUGAUCCUUUUGUAAUGUCACUGCACUAAGGUCACAAUGACUAUUGCCAAUGAAUUACAAAGCUCUCGAUCGGAAAUUGUUACAAGACAAUUCCAUAGAUGUGAUGUCUCUCAUUCAAAGUACAUUCCUUUGAACAUCCUUUUGCAUAAAAGUUUCUAAUCUUGACAUAGAUUCUCAAUAUCCAACUCCCAAUAUGGAAAACUUUCCAUACUUACCAUAUGACAACUCAUUCUUAAUAGAAUCCUAUCUAUUCAUAAUAAUGUCGAUAUGUUCCAUUCAAUAUCAUACUUCCAACUACUCACAAGCGACCAAUCCUUAGCAAGCUUUGGAUCGUUCUUUGAUAGUUGUUUAAUUAUCUUAGUUAAAACCAAUUCUAGUCCUUUUUCCCUCUAAAUGCGCUAGACAUUUGGAAAAUUUUAGAAUGGUCAAAUAUUAUUGCAUUUGCAAUCGAUCCUAUACCCGAAGUGUAUGGGACACGAUAAUAAAAGAUACGAUACUUUAUGAAUCUUUUGCCACAAUAUUUUAUGUGUCACGUUCUCACAAUUCGAAUUAUGAAGAGGGAUACCGUAAUCAUAAUCGAAAUUUAAGAACACACUAUGUAUCCUUUGACUAUAUUUCAUAACAUUCCACAACCUAAGCCUUUAGAUUUUAAAUGAAGCAUAAUAUUCUCUCCCUUAAUUAUAGCAAAACAAUUAUUCAAUCCUUACGACUUUACAAAGUAUAAUUCUUGUUUUCUAUAAUUAAUAUUGCUAACUUGAAAUACUUGCCUUAAUAAUCAUACAAGCACAACAUUUAUGCUCCCACUAUGAUGAUUAUUAUCAUAUAAGCAGAACACUUAUGCUCCCACUAGCUUUGACAUGUUUUAGAAAACAACUGAACUUCCAGAAAACAAUAUUUCUAAUACCUAAUGGUUUGAUAAUCCUUUAUCUAAGCUUCGUAAACUUAUACACCUAUGCCUUAGAUAGCUCAUAUGUAUGUCUUAAACAAUUCAAACUAAUUGCCAAAUCUCAUAAUUCGAAUUAUGGAAAGGGAUACCGUAACCAUAAUCAAAUUUGAGAAUACAAUUUUACAAUCGCUAUCUUCUUAAAAUCUCUCUUAGUGAAAGCAUUUCCUCACAGUCAUCUUCAUGAAGGAGAAAAUCUUAUGACAAUUAAAUUUUAAUGGUGUAUGUGUUCCUAUCCAUGUGAAUUUGUCAAAAUCAAAGUUUACGACAAAUUCAAACUCAUAUGGACCGAACCUUCUCAAACUUGAUUUCUUGCCUUAUGGUAACACGAGUGCCCACCAUGUCUUCCAAGUAGUUAAGCAGCCACCCUCUUCUUAUCAAUGUACUUUUCAUUGAUCAAGGUCCUUGACUUUUAUGCAUUCAAAUGAGAACUUAUAGAACUCACAUGCAUCAUUAACUCAAUUGGAACGGAACAGAAACCAGAUAGUGUCAACACGAUAGGUUGUAAACCUCAAGUCGUGUGCUAGUGAUGAUCGAUAAGGUUUAUUCUUGAUUAGUUCUUGAAACUUUUCGAGAUCAUUAAGACUCCCACUGAAUCCUUGACAUAUAAGAUUCUCUUUUCAAUAAACAUUUCUUCGACAAAUCAAUAUUCAAGAGUUAGUGUAGCUUUUAUCAAGACAAAACACUUCAUAAGUUGGUCCUAGUUGGUCUUUGUCUUAUCCAAGACAUCACAACAUUCCAAUUUCAAAUGUGAAAGAAUAAGAAAACCUUUUUUUCCAAAUUCUAUCUUUGAUGAAUGUUAUAAACCUUCUUAAGACUUAUCACUCAAUGUCGCAAUCUUAACUCUCAGAUUUGGUUUUGGAACGAAGUAUGAUUGACCUCUUGAUUUUAACCAUUUCUUCAAUUCUUGAUUUCUCUUCUCAGACAUACAAUUGUACUAAGAUUCAGUUAGAGGAUCAAUUAAGAUAUGCUUCUUAAUCAUUAAGACAUUUCAUAAAGCAUAAAAGGUACUCUCCCUUCUCCUUAGAAUAGAGAACCUUUUAUCUUUCUGCCUACUCGAUUCUUCUUAUUCGUUCCUCUAUUGAUUUAAAAUCUUUCAAUCAAUUUAGAAUUACACUUAAUCUUAUAAGUAUAAUCAUAUUUACUAAACCUUUAGUAAAUCAUGACAAAUAUCCUUGUUACUCUUGUGGUUGACUUGAUCAACACACAACUUUGUGUAUUCGAUCUCCCAGUCCAUCACUUGACACUUUGUCAACGAACUAGUCCAAUUUCCAAAUAUGAAGUUUAUCAUUCAUAAUGCAACCAAGUUGCAUGAUUCCAAGUUUCUAUCCAAUUGAAACUUGGGCGAUGAGAAACUUUCCCUAUUUGGUAAAUUCUUGACCUUUCCACAAAUAACAUAAUUAAGAAUCACAUCCAUUCGUUGUAGAAAUAUGCAAACAUCUAUUUUUCAUAACGAUUUCAUUGCAAGGAAAUAAAUAAAUAAAUAAAUACGUCAAGCAAAAUUUAUUUUAUUCAUAAAAGCAGCGAAAAACAUUUGUCCUUACAAUGCAAAAUCAAUUAAAAAACUAUGUCAUCAAAUAUUCCUAACAACUCUAUCAUAACUUUCUAAGCUCAAAAUCUAAUAUUCGAAUCCAUGUGAUCAAGAUCCAUCUCUUUGUGAUCAGACUCAUCUUGCCUUUCCAUCAGGCUUCCUCUCUUUUCACUGAUCCUGCAAAACAUUCAAUUGCAGUCUUAUCACAUUAUGUAUUAAGAAUCAAUGAAUAGGAACUUAAUGGAGUUAGAUAGUGGAUUUUACCUGAAGCACAUCCAUACUCUUUGACUCUCCCAUCUUCUGGACUCUUCAGGCUCUUAGGGAAGACUUGUAUCCAAUGCCCUUUCACUUGGCAGCAAAUGCAGGUCGGUUCUCCUAGAAUGUCCUCGGAAGCAUGGUUGGUUGCUUUCCCAACAAAUAUGCUCCAUUGCUUUGCCAAAUCAUUUCUGAUUCAGCAGCAAUGAGCAUGUAAGUUAGGUCAAUGAGGUUUGCGUCAUGAUCCAUCAUAUAAUACUUUCUUUUGAACUCAUUAUAUGAUUCAGGGAGUGACUGCAGAACCCAGUCUACAGCCAACUUAUCAGGGAAUGACGCACCCAACAUAAUCAACCUAUCGAUGUGUGAUUUCAUUCCUAGAACGUGGGCACACACGGGCUUACCAUCUUCAUGUUUCAUUGCCAAUAGGGCUUUAGUGANACCAUGAUUGUCAUACUUUGACAUCUACAAAACGGGAGAAAAAGAAUUCAAGUUAGUUGAUUUAUUGAGUCCUUAGUAAAUCACCCAAAUGAUAUACUAGGCUAGGACCCAACACAAUAUUCCACAACUCGAGAGAGGGAUGACAUAAACUAAAUUGCAGAACAAUUGAAGGUAAGUGAAUGACGAUUCACUAAUUUUCCAUCAUGAAAAACGAAAAACAGAUUAAGUUUUAAAUGUAUUGAAAACUCCUAGAUCCUUUGAGAUUUAUUGAAUUUUCAAUGGCAUGUUUAAAUCUCAAUAUACCCCUCUAGUUUGUGACUGGGAUGCCGAGGAUCACAAAGCGGUUGUGAAUAACCAUGCAAAUCUACAUGGUGCCCCCACAUGUUACAGUCACCUAUUCGAUGUGCUGGUUAACCACACAUGCUCCACCGAACUAUGAAAAACAUUGAGUCACCCUUCGCUACCUUUUCUUAGAACCAUUAAGUGUGCCGGUUAACCACACACGCUCCACUAACGUCUUCGCAAGGGCACGAAGUGUAAUUUCAUGGAAUUGCAUCAAGGAACUUUUUCCUAAAGUAACUAAGAUUGAGAAUUUUAUAAAAACAUUUAGUUACUUUUGUACUUCAUUAUACUUAUAAUGGAAGGUUUCUGUCCUAUCCUACCCGUUCGGCUAACGACCCUCCACUAGUCAAGAGUGUGGUGGGUAAGAGUGGAUACCCAUUCAAUCGCCAUUUUAUAGGCAAUUUCCUUAAACACCCCUUAUAGACCAGCUUCAUGAAUG